UGGAGUAGACGGACGCCAAACUCAAUUAACUGAAGGGCGGUGGACGCUGGUUCUUCAAAUUCACUCACGCCGGCGAGAAAAGGAUAUACAAAACGAUGCCUGAGAAUACCAGAGAUAACAUAAUAGAGAGAGAUGCGGAGAAGAGAUGAUGCAAGGACUCAAUCACCACCACCAUCAACAGCUCGCGGCGCUUCUCGCGGCGGCGCUCCCUAAGGAUGACUCUUCAAAAUCAACUUCAACUUUGUCACCUUCCCCCACCACAUCCGCCACCUCCCCCGCCGCACAGUCGUCUGAGGAAGAAGAAUCUUCUCGACUCACCGCCAUCACUUCUCUUCACCGUGCCAUUCUAUACCCUCCUAACUCGCUUCUGGUCGCCCACUCCGCCUCUUUUCUCGUUCAAGGCUUCUCUCAACUCCUCUCUGACAAAUCAUAUUCAGUGCGGCAGGCUGCAACCACAGCAUAUGGGGCUUUGUGUUCUGUAUUGUGUUCGGUUCCUGUAGCCUCAAAUGGAAGGCAGAAUCAUGUUAUUCUCAACAGUUUCAUUGAUCGAUUCAUUGGUUGGGCAUUGUCUUCCCUUAGCAAUAUAAGUGAUGGAACUGCAGAACUAGCAUUGGAUGGCCUUCAUGAGUUUCUUAGUGUUGGUGACGUUGGAAUGCUUGAAAGAUAUGCAUUGCCAAUUCUCAAAGCUUGCCAAGAACUUCUUGAGGAUGAGAGAACCUCCAUGAGUUUACUGAACAGGCUUCUUGGUGUGCUGACACUGAUUUCAUUGAAGUUUUUCAGAUGCUUCCAGCCGCAUUUUGUGGACAUUGUUGAUUUGCUUCUGGGGUGGGCAAUGGUACCAGAUAUUAGAGAAUCUGAUAGGCGCGUCAUUAUAGAUAGUUUCUUGCAAUUUCAGAAACACUGGGUGAAUAAUAUGCAAUUUUCUUUGGGGCUGCUGUCAAAAUUUUUGGGUGACUUGGAUGUACUGCUUGUGGAUGUGAGCCCUGGUACUCCACAACAGUUUAAAAGAUUACUGGCAUUGCUGUCUUGUUUUUGUACAGUUUUGCAGUCCGUGGCUUCUGGUUUGCUAGAAAUAAAUUUGCUUGAACAAAUAAUUGAACCCCUUUCCAAGAUGGUACCUGUUUUGCUAGGAUGCCUGUCUAUGGUUGGGAAGAAAUUUGGUUGGUCAAAAUGGAUAGAUGAUUCUUGGAGAUGCUUGACUUUGUUGGCAGAGAUUUUAAGUGAUGGAUUUUCUACCUUUUACCCUAAUGCAGUUGAUCUGUUGUUCCAAAGCUUGCAAAUGGAAGUUGCAAACCAACUACAGGGGACAAAGAAUAUUAAUUCCUUCCUGGUUCAUGGUGUUCUCAAAACUAACCUUCAAAUGCUAUCACUGCAAAAGCUUGGCCUUCUACCAUCAUCAGUACAAAAAGUAUUGCGAUUUGAUGGGCCCGUAUCUCAGCUGCGUCUGCACCCAAAUCACUUAGUGACUGGAAGUGCUGCUGCUACGUAUAUCUUUUUACUUCAACAUGAAAAAAUGGAUGUAGUUGAAAAUGCAAUUGAUUCCUUAAUUGAAGAGCUGCAGUUAUUGAAGCGAAUGCUUGGAAAAAAAUUAGAGGAUGAGCUUGAUACAUUUAUAACUCCUGAAUCUUAUUCAAAAAGUGAGUUGGUUGCGAUGGUCAAAUUUGAUUUGAAAGUACUGUUAAGCUGUAUUGCUUUGGGUGGAGGUGGUAGGUUAAUUGGAAGAGCAAAAAUUGACACUCUUUAUGUUUGUAGGGCAGAAAAAUUAGCAACUUUUAUUAUUGAAAUGUUGGAUCCAUUUCACCUACCCAUCAAAAGUUUUGUAGAUUUGCAAGUUAAUGUUUUAAAAACAUUGGAAACACUUACCAUGGUUGAGUUUCUGAGCAAGCGCUCCAUAAAGGAACAGGAUAGUGAGAGAGGUUCCCUGCAGGUAGCAUCCCAAAAACAUGCAGAGGGUGAAAAUGAGGGAGAUGUACUUGCAGCGGUUGUUUUUGGACAUUUGAGGAGGUACACUUCUCUACUUGUCAAAGCUCUCGACAUUUCUUCUCCUCUGGGAGUCAAAAUAGCAGCCCUAGAAUGGAUAAAUAAAUUCUGUGAAAAUGUUAUUAACACAUAUAAAAAUAUAAGUACAUCGUUUUACCCUUGUCAAGCAUUUGGAUGCAUCAAAAUCAUCCAGGAUUUGUUGUACUCGACUUUGGCUGCUGCAUCAGAUAGGGAACCAAGAGUGAGGUCUCAUGUGGCAUCAGUUCUUGAUAUGCUUCUGCAAGCAAAAGUUAUCCAUCCAAUGCAUUUUUCCAUUAUUGCAGAAACGAUCCUCGAAAAGCUCGGGGAUCCGGAUAAUAACAUAAAGAAUGUGUAUCUGAAGUUGCUUUCACAUGUGCUGCCUAUUACAACAUACACAUGUGGUCUUUGUGAUUAUGGAGCAGCAAUGACACCUGGGCUGCAAAUUCUUACAUUUGCCGACAGGUCUAAUUUGCACUGGAAGCAAGUUUUUGCCCUAAAGCAAUUGCCUCAGCAACUUCACUCUCAGCAACUUGUUUCCAUAUUGAGUUAUAUUUCACAGAGAUGGAAAGCACCUCUUUCUUCUUGGAUCCAGCGGCUCAUUCAUACUUGCCGGAGCAAAAGGGACCUUGCAUUUACUUGGUAUGAGGAAACAAAAAAUGCCGAUGCAAUUGUUUUAUGGUUGGACGCUGGAGUGGAGGAAGAUACUCUUGAAAGGAUUUGCUCAGUUAAUAUCGUUGCUGGUGCAUGGUGGGCUAUACAUGAAGCAGCUAGGUUUUGUAUUAAUACACGACUUCGGACUAACCUUGGUGGGCCAACACAAACUUUUGCUGCACUGGAGCGCAUGCUUGUUGACAUUGCUCAUGUGUUACAGUUGAAUGAAGACCAAAAUGAUGGAAAUUUAAAUGUCAUAGGUUCUUAUGCUCACUUAUUGCCAAUGAGAUUAUUACUGGAAUUUGUCGAGGCCCUGAAGAAAAAUGUGUAUAAUGCAUAUGAAGGAUCAACUGUAUUACAGUGUGCUUCCCGGCAAAGCUCUUUAUUUUUUCGGGCAAAUAAAAGAGUAUGUGAAGAGUGGUUUUCUCGAAUAUGUGACCCAAUGAUGAAUGCUGGAUUGGCACUUCAGUCUCAUGAUGCUACGAUUCAUUACUGCACCUCACGCCUGCAGGAUCUCAGGAACCUUGUGGCUUCAGCACUGACGGAGAAGUCAAGAGUCCAUCCGACAGAAAAUCUCCAUAACAUCAGAGGAAGAUAUGCUGGAGAUAUAUUGAGGGUCUUGCAACACAUGGCUUUGGCUUUGUGUAAGAAUUAUGAACCAGAGGCAUUAGUUGGUUUAGAGAAAUGGGCAACCAUGGCCUUCUCUCCCUUGUUUACAGAGGAAAACCCAAGUCCAAGUGAUGGCAAGAACUCAGGAUUUUUUGCCUGGAUUUCUGGGCUUGUAUAUCAGGCAAGAGGCCAGCACGAGAAAGCUGCUGCUCACUUUAUUCAUUUGUUACAGACUGAAGAAUCACUUACGUCUAUGGGUUCUGAUGGCGUCCAGUUUGCCAUUGCUCGUAUUAUCGAGAAUUAUACAGCUGUUUCUGAUUGGAAGUCUUUGGAAUCCUGGCUAUUAGAGUUGCAAAUAAUUCGUGCAAAGCACGCUGGAAAGAGUUACACCGGUGCUCUUACCACUGCUGGGAAUGAAAUAAAUUCAAUUCAAGCCUUGGCUCGCUUUGAUGAGGGUGAGUACCAGGCCGCAUGGGCAUGCCUCGAUUUGACUCCUAAAAGUAGCAAUGAACCCACACUUGAUCCGAAGCUGGCAUUGCAGAGGAGUGAGCAAAUGCUUUUGCAGGCCUUGCUUCUUCAAAAGGAGGGAAAGGUGGACAAGAUGCCCUAUGAGUUGCAGAAGGCUAAGUUAAUGCUGGAGGAGACAUUGUCUGUGUUGCCACUUGAUGGCUUGGUGGAGGCAGCAGCACAUGUCAAUCAGUUACACUGCAUCUCUGAAUUAGAGGGAAGUUGCGAACUUCGAAGCAGCAACAGUGAGCCCUCUCAGUCAUUAUUAAGUUCAUAUAUCCAAACAGGCAAGUUCGGAUGUAACCGAGUACAUCAGGAUUGCAAUCUGUGGCUAAAAGUUAUGCGAGUUCGUCAAAACACACUCCCAACUGCACUAGGGACUCUUGAACUUUGUAAGAAUUUAUCGAGCUUAGCCCGCAAGCAAAGCAAUCUUAUGUUGGCAAAUCGUCUGAACAACUAUCUCAAAGUUCAUGUCUCAAGUUGUUCUGAUGAAAGUUCUCGUGAUUAUAUGAUUUCUAGUUUGCAUUACGAGAACAUUCUUUUCAUGCAUUCUGAAAACAAGCUUGAAGAUGCAUUGGUGAAUCUUUGGUCAUUUGUGCAUCCUUAUAUAGAUAAUUCUUCGGUGGAAAGGUCCAACUCUCGGGACAGUUUUCUAAAGGCCAAGGCUUGCUUGAAACUGGCAAAUUGGUUGCGGGGAGACUGUUCUGGUAAAAAGUUUGAGGAUGUUGUUGUUAAGAUGCUAACAGACUUCAAUUUUACCGAUGAUUCUACAGUCAAAGAGGCACUUUCCUUUUGUGAAGGUAAUCUAAGCUCAGGUGUAAAUCUUAUAGUUGAUGAACUUGUAGGUACUCUAAAAAAGAUGUCUGCUCGUCUUUGCCCCAUGAUGGGGAAGUCAUGGAUUUCAUACGCCUCUUGGUGUUAUGCUCAAGCUGUAGCAUCCGUCUCCUCAAAUCAUGAGUCCGCCCAGCAUUCUUGCUCCCGUUCUCCCGUUCCUGCUAUUGAAAUACAGCAAAAUAGAUUUAGAUUAACUGAAGAAGAGCAGUUGCAUAUUAAGGACAUCAUUAAUAAGCUUGUUCAAGAAGGAUCUGACUUGAAAGAGAGAAAUGAAGACGCAGGAACUUGUAAUCUUUCUGGAUAUGCUGAAAUUAAGAAAGAUCUGAAGCCUUUAUUGCAUCAAAUAGUAGAUGUUAUUGAGUCUACGGCUGGAGCACCUGGAAUCCUGGACUGCAGUGGCAUUAGCUUGUCUGCUACGCUAUCUUCUCAGUUACACAAAUGCUUAGUGUCUAAUAAUGUUUCCCUGGAUGAAGCUGGAGUACUAUCUAUGGUAAAUGACUUGGUUGAGGUUUGGCAGUCUUUUAGGAGGAGAAGGGUUUCUCUCUUUGGUCAUGCAGCUCAAGCUUUCAUUAAUUAUCUUUCACAUUCCUCUCUGAAUAUUACUGAUGGUCAAUUAACUGGCUGUGAUGUUGACUCCCAGUAUAAAUCUGCGAGUUACACCCUGAGGGCCACACUCUAUGUCCUUCACAUUCUGCUCAACUAUGGGGUUGAGUUAAAAGAUACACUUGAACCAGGUCUUUCUAUAGUUCCUUUACUACCCUGGCAGGAGAUAAUUCCUCAACUGUUUGCUCGAUUGAGUGCUCACCCUGAACAGGUGGUUAGGAAGCAGUUGGAGAAUUUGCUAGUCAUGCUGGCAAAGCUAUUUCCAUGGUCUAUAGUCUACCCCACCCUUGUCGAUGCAAAUGCUUAUGGAAAGAAAUCUUCUGAAGAGAUUCUGACAAUUCUGGCUUAUUUGAAUAAGCUUUAUCCAAGGUUAGUACAAGAUGCUCAGCUGAUUAUUAGAGAGCUUGAAAAUGUAACUGUACUUUGGGAGGAAUUGUGGCUGAGCACACUUCAAGAUCUUCAUGCAGAUGUUAUGAGGCGCAUAAAUUUGUUGAAAGAGGAGGCUGCACGAAUUGCAGAGAGUACAACUCUUAGUCCCGGAGAGAAAAUCAAGAUAAAUGCUGCAAAAUACUCUGCUAUGAUGGCUCCCAUCAUUGUAGUCUUAGAGCGUCGUUUAGCUUCUACUUCUCGGAAGCCUGAAACACCUCAUGAGAUGUGGUUCUUUGAGGAGUACCAGGAACAAAUCAAAACUGCUGUCACAAAAUUCAAGACUCCUCCUGCAUCAGCUGUGAUGCUAGGGGAUGUGUGGCGACCAUUUGAGAAUGUUGCUGCUUCCUUGGCAUCUCAUCAAAGGAAGUCAUCAAUAUCUUUAGGAGAAGUUGCCCCUCAUUUGGCUUGGAUGUCAUCAUCCGAUGCUCCAAUGCCAGGUCUUGAGAAGCAAAUUACAAUGUCUGAAUCAGAAAGAGACUUAAAUAGUGCUCCCCAGGAAAUUGUGACAAUUGCUUCUUUCUCUGAACAAGUAGUGAUUUUAUCAACCAAGACCAAACCCAAAAAACUUGUUCUAAUGGGCUCUGAUGGUCAGAAGUAUACAUAUCUCUUGAAAGGACGAGAGGACUUGCGUCUUGAUGCCAGGAUUAUGCAGCUAUUGCAAGCUGUAAAUGGUUUUCUGCAUUCAUCAUCUGCUACUCGUAGUCGGUCACUCGGCAUUCGUCAUUACUCUGUGACACCAAUUAGCGGACGAGCUGGCCUGAUCCGAUGGGUGGAUAAUGUCAUUAGCAUUUAUAGUGUGUUUAAAUCAUGGCAGAACCGAGUCCAGUUAGCACAGAUUUCUGCAUUGAGUGCUGAUACAAAAAAUAUGGUUCCUCCACCUGUGCCUCGGCCCAGUGACAUGUUUUAUGGUAAAAUCAUUCCUGCGCUCAAAGAGAAAGGCAUUAGAAGAGUAAUAUCGAGAAGGGACUGGCCUCAUGAUGUCAAGCGAAAAGUACUUUUGGAUCUUAUGGAGGAAGCUCCUAAGCAACUUCUUCAUCAGGAGCUUUGGUGCGCAAGUGAAGGUUUCAAAGCCUUCAGCUCAAAAUUGAAAAGGUAUUCUGGAAGUCUGGCAGCCAUGAGUAUUGUUGGUCAUAUUCUGGGUCUAGGUGAUAGACAUUUGGAUAAUAUCCUCAUAGAUUUUUGUAGUGGGGAUAUUGUGCAUAUUGAUUACAAUGUGUGCUUUGACAAAGGACAUAGGUUAAAGAUUCCUGAAAUUGUACCCUUCCGCCUUACCCAGACAAUUGAAGCUGCAUUAGGGUUGACUGGUGUGGAAGGUACCUUUAGGGCAAAUUGUGAAGCUGUUUUAGGUGUUCUGAAGAAGAAUAAGGAUAUUGUCUUGAUGUUGCUAGAGGUUUUUGUUUGGGACCCACUUGUGGAAUGGACACGUGCGAACUUUCAUGAUGAUGCGGCUAUUGUUGGUGAAGAAAGAAAGGGCAUGGAGCUUGCUGUUAGCUUAAGUCUAUUUGCAUCUCGUGUCCAAGAAAUUCGUGUUCCGUUGCAGGAACAUCAUGAUCUCUUACUGGCUACCUUACCAGCUGUUGAGUCAACCCUUGAGAGGUUUGCUGACAUUCUGAAUCAAUAUGAGGUUGUCUCCAGUCUAUUUUAUCACGCAGACCAAGAGAGAUCUAACCUCCUUUUGCAUAAGACAUCUGCGAAUUCAAUUGUUGCCGAAGCAACUUGUAAUUCAGAGAAAAGUCGUGCCUUGUUUGAACUGCAGGCUCGAGAAUUCAGUCAAGCACAGGCUAUGAUAGUGGAGAAAGGGCAAGAAGCUUCAACUUGGAUUGAGCAGCAAGGAAGGAUUUUAGAUGCUUUAAGUAGUAGUUCAAUUCCUGAAAUUAAAGCAUGUAUAAAGCUGACUGGUUCAGAAGAAGCUCUGUCACUCACGUUUGCAGUUCUAGUGGCUGGGGUUCCAUUGACUGUUGUUCCUGAACCGACACAAGUUCAGUGCCACGACAUUGAUAGGGAAGUUUCUCAUUUAGUAGCUGAGCUGGAUUCUGGGCUUUCUUCUGCGGUUGCAGCACUCCAAUUGUAUUCAUUGGCUCUGCAGAGGAUCCUUCCAUUAAAUUACAUUAUAACCAGUCCAGUACAUGGUUGGGCACAGAUUUUACUUUCUCUGAAUGCACUCUCAUCAGAUGUUAUAUCAGUUGCUCGGAGGCAGGGAGCUGAGCUCAUCAUGACUGGACACGGGGAUGGAUAUAGUUCUAUUAAGAGCAGUUAUGAUGAUCUUUGUCUUAAGGUAGCAAAGUAUGCAGAAGAUAUAGAGAGAUUGGAAGAAGAGUGUGCUGAACUUGUGAACUCAAUUGGUACAGAUACUGAACUGAAAUCCAAGGAACGUCUUCUAUCUGCUUUCAUGGACUAUGCGCAGCACGCUAGUCUCAAUAGGAGAGACAAUGGCUUGGGUUUGGGACCAGUGACACGUGGAGAACCAUCAGAAUCUGCCUUGCAUGGGGAGAAUGAAGAAAAGAAGGAAAGGGUUCUAAUUGUAUUAGAUACAGCCACGAGCAAUCUGUUCUAUGAUGUUAAGCACCUAGUGAAUAAAGGCCUGAAUCACUUUCCAGGGGAAAGAAAUACGGAUAAAUGGCCUUUAUCUGAUCUUGGAUCCUUUUUCAAUGAGCUUGAAGAACAUAUAGAAAAAUGCGUCCUUGUCACUGAGUUUCUCAAUGAGCUAAAGCAGAGUGUUGGACAGGAUAACUGUGUUGUUGAGGCAGAUGCACAUAGUUUAAAUUAUGCAUCCCAACUGAACUGGGCUUCUUUUUUUAAAACCACUCUUAUUUACUGUAAAAACCUUGUUUGGCAAAUGAUUGAAGUCGUUCUACCUAGUUUGAUAAAAUCUAUAAUUUCAUUUAAUUCAGAAGUUAUGGAUGUUUUUGGAUCAGUGUCCCGAAUUCGGGGAUCGAUAGAUACAGCACUGGAGCAGCUUAUUGAGGUUGAACUAGAGAGGGCUUCUCUGAUUGAACUUGAGCAGAACUACUUUGUGAAAGUUGGUCUUAUCACCGAGCAACAGUUGGCUCUUGAAGAAGCUGCUGUCAAGGGCAGAGACCAUUUAUCUUGGGAAGAGGCCGAGGAACUAGCCUCUCAAGAAGAAGCUUGCAGAGAGCAGCUGGAUAAACUUAAUCAGAUGUGGAGCCAAAAAGACCUGCAAACUUCAUCUCUUUUAAAGAAAGAAACAAGUAUUAAUAGCACUUUGGCCUCUUCUGAACUACAAUUGCAAUCUCUAAUUGCUGCAGAGCCAGAAAGUGAGCCUCAUAUUUUUAGAAGCAAAGCACUCUUGGCAGCACUAGUUCAACCGUUUACUGAGUUGGAAUCUGUUGAUCCAGCACUGACUUCAUUUUCUGGACCUGUUUCAUGCAGCUCAAGUGGAAUUUCUCACCUUGCAGACUUGAUGAGUUCAGGAUGCCCAAUAUCUGAGUAUAUAUGGAAGUUUCCAGGCAUACUAUGCAGUCAUGCCUUUUUUAUUUGGAAAGUCUCUAUUGUUGAUCUAUUGCUUGAUUCCUGCACACAUGACGUUGAUGCAUCUUUUGAUCAAAAUUUAGGAUUUGACCAACUGGUGAAUGUAGUGAAGACAAAGGUUAAAAUUCAACUUCAGGAGUAUAUUGAACAAUACUUGAAAUCUCGUGUUGCUCCAAUUCUGUUGACUAGGUUAGACAGAGAAAUAGAGAUUCUGAGGGAAAAAGCAGAGGCAACAAAGGAUGUAGACUUUGCUCCAUUGAAAACGGAUUUUGGCGCUGUUAAAGAAGUGCAACUUAUGCUUGAAGAGUACUGCAAUGCACAUGAAACUGUCAGGGCAGCAAAAUCAGCAGCUUCCGUCAUGAAGAGGCAGGUGAAUGAACUUAAGGAAGCUCUUCUCAAGACCAGCUUGGAAAUUGUUCAGAUGGAAUGGAUGCACGAUAUCGCAUUGAGCUCCUCACAAAAUUCUAAGUUGAUCUCUCUUAAAAUUCUUGCAGAUGAUGACCUGCUUAAAGUUAUUUUAAACAUUAGCAGACCAAAAUUGCUAGAGAAUAUACAAUCUUCAAUUGCAAAAAUAUCUAAAUCAUUGGAAUGCUUGCAAUCUUGUGAGCAAACUUCUAUCACAGCAGAAGGGCAGCUUGAGAGAGCGAUGAGCUGGGCUUGUGGUGGUCCUAAUUCCAUGUCAAAUAUCUCUGCCAGAAAUUCAGGAAUACCACAUGAAUUUCAUGAUCAUUUGGCAAGGCGGCGACAAUUGUUGCAGGAAGCUCAAGAAAAUGUAUCGGACAUAAUGAAAGUUUGCUCCUCCAUAUUGGAGUUUGAAGCUUCUCGAGAUGGUACUUUUAGGACCUCGGGAGAAGUUUAUCCAUUAAGGACUAGUGCAGAUGCUGGGAUGUGGCAGCAAGCUUACUUGAAUGCAAUAACAAAAUUGGAUGUUACUUAUCACUCCUUUACACGUGCUGAGCAAGAAUGGAAGCUUGCACAAAGCAACAUGGAAGCCGCCUCUAGUGGUUUAGUUUCUGCAACAAAUGAACUUCGCAUGGCUUCUGAUAAAGCAAAGUCCGCAUCAGGUGAUUUGCAAAGUACUCUUCUUGCAAUGAAGGACUCUGCCUAUGAAGCCAGUGUUGCACUAUCGGCUUUCGGGGGAAUUAUUAGAGGCCACAGUGCUUUGACUUCUGAGUGUGGUUCCAUGCUUGAGGAGGUCUUGGCUAUCACAGAAGAUUUGCACGACGUUCACGGUUUGGGAAAAGAGGCUAGCGCAUUACACUUAUCUCUUAUGGAAGAUCUUUCAAAGGCUAAUUCGGUCCUGCUACCUCUUGAGUCUGUAUUAUCAAAUGAUGUUGCUGCUAUGACUGAUGCGAUGACUCGGGAAAAAGAGACAAAAAUGGAGAUAUCCCCCAUUCAUGGACAGGCCAUAAUCCAGUCUUACCGUAUGAGGAUAAAGGAAGCUCUUCAAGUGUUCAAGCCUUUGGUUCCAUCUCUCAUGUUGUCUGUUAAAGGCCUUUUCUCCAUCCUGACUGGGCUAGCAAGGGCUGCGAGUCUUCACGCUGGCAAUCUUCAUAAAGCUUUUGAAGGAUUAGGAGAGAGCCAGGAAGUAAGGUCACAGGAUAUUGAUUCAUCAAAGGCAGAUCUUGCUGGUCAUGACACCGAGUACGAUACUGAGGAGAGUGAGAUUUUCUACAAACCUGAUGGUGAAAAUUAUAUAGACUCAGUUGGUUUAGAUGGGACGCCUUUGCAAGAUAAAGGAUGGAUAUCUCCGCCUGAGAGCAUCAGUGGUUGCAGCGCAGAUUCCGGAGUUACAUCAGCAGAGGCAAGUAUUGCAGAUCACUUGAGUUGUCUAGACUUGAAAGAGCACCUUUCUGGUGACUCUGAUAACAAAGAGAACAGGGAUUUACCACACUACCUUGCAUCUUAUGGAUCUGAUGCACACGGAUCACCACUUGAGGAGACAGACCCAAAAAUCAUGCAGGAAAUCUCCAAUGUGAGUUUUGUCCUUAAAGACGAGGCAUCUUUGUUGAACCAUGACAAGAUCGAGGAUGGAUCUCUUGAAACAUCGUUAAUUAACGCAGAAUCUGGUGUUCGAGCAGUUGGUGGUAGAAAUGCUUAUGCAAUGUCAAUUUUAAGACGUGUAGAGAUGAAACUAGAUGGUCAAGAUAUCAUUGAUAACAGAGAAAUUAGCAUUGCGGAGCAAGUGGAUUUUCUGAUCAGGCAAGCAACAAAUAUAGACAAUCUUUGCAAUAUGUAUGAAGGUUGGACUCCUUGGAUUUGAGCUUCAAGAGACAAUUAUUCUGCAAACACAACUAUAAAAUCCGAGCAUUCCAAGAGAUGCUGUGUCUGUACGUGGAGCUCAACACUCGAGAAUCGUCUAUUAGCAGGUAUCUGGAUGGAAGCUCCUAUUCCGAGUACAGUCACAUGCCAUGUUUAUUAGCUACAAAGCCCAGAAUUCCCCUUGCAAGUGAUAAAUUCAGUUGCUUUCUAGUGGAAUAUUCUACUGGAUGCUCUACACUGGCUCUUCUCGUAAAGGUGCUAAUCUUGGCCUUAGUUCAUGCUCUCUUUCUCCCAGUGAAAACUAAAUAAUGCCUUGAGAUUGUGGAGGAGGUGGAUAUGGAAAUUUUGCGAGGUGACAGUUGUUCGGAUAUUGGCAGCAGCUGGUCAAACUCAAUCUAGUUUUCCUGGUUUCACAUGGGAUCCAUAUUCUCAUCUUUCGAGUCAUCCACUGAAAUGAUGGAUUCUAAAUUCCUUGCAGUUCAACUCAACUGACAGGUUCAGAUAAUUUAUGACAAGCUCUUAUAUAUGGAAAACAAAAUAGAGUCAUUAUUUAUUCCGUGCUAUGGGCUCUGGCAUCCCAAUGGUGUCUUGCCAUGGCAUAAUACCCUGGGCUCAAGAAUGUCUCAAGUUAUAUGUAAUAAUGGCCUUCGAUUUGCUCAGUGAUGUGAUCAGUCGAUUUUGGAUAUGGGGGACCUAAUCCAAUCGACAUUGGUUUUACCCAGGUUGAUAGAUUUGGAGCUGAUCUCGUCUGCUAUUCGGAGCCCUAUUUGGGAAAAUUUCAAGACAGGAUCCUGGAAUACCACUGGCAAGCUCCUAGAAUGUGUGAAGAAACUUGUGAUGAAUAGUCUGAUUUCUCCUUAUAGCACACAGAUGUAGUUCACAAAUUUAUCAACCCAAGACUCGUGAGCCACCUACGCACGUGCAUAUAGCACUGAAUAUCUGAAUAUAUCAAGAAUCAUAAUAUUAAUGUCUUCCGGCUAUUUUCAAUUUUGAUUAUGAAGUGUCAGAAUUGACAAAAUCACCGGGCUUGUGGACUAGUGAGUUGGCCAGGCUGCAUGAUACGGGUGAAGCCAUUUGGUGAAGCGGCUCGGCCCAGCCAACCUUGAGGCUAAGCAAGUGUCUCAUGAAGAUCGUAGAAGGUCGAACCCAAAUCUUUGGUGCUCACCAAUCUUGGCUAUAGCUAUGCAAGUCAAGUUUUAUUAAAUUGGGAAAUCUAUAGGUGUUCCUUAUAUCAUAUUUAAAUCAUCAGUCUGCCACUCUGCCUUCAAGUGCUUAAAUUUAUUUUAUUUAAAGUAUCAUUGAGCUUUUGUGAGAUUGUUGGCAAAGGAAAGAUAUUAUUAUUUUUGGGGGAAUAAAGACCAUGGCCUUUUUUAUU